UCAGAAAAUCGAAAUCAAAACCCAAAAAUCGAAAUCAAAACCCAGAAAAUCGAAACUCAAAAAAUCGAACAAAACCCAGAAUAUCCGAACAUAAAUCACCAAAAAAACGAAAAAAGUACAAUAUUGAAAAAAAAAAGAUAAAAUGAAUCUAGAUCGCACAUCAUCUUCCUAUAUAUUAUCGAUAAUCGCACAUCAUCUUAACUGAAACUUGUGAGGGAGGAGAGAUGAAGGGGAUCGUUCGUCGGUGGUGGGAGCUAAGGGCUGUGAUCAUAGGGAGGAGAAAGACGGUGGUGGGAUGGAAGGUGGUCGUGAAGGAGGAGAGAGAAUGGUGGUGGGAGGGGCGGUGGUCGUGACUCGUGAAGGAGGAGGGAUGAAGAGGUUGAAAGAGAUGAAGAGGGUGAAAGGUUGAAAGAGAGGUUGAAGAAAGAGAUAAAUGGGUGGUGGGUAGACGAGGAGAUGAGUAAAUGGGGUGGGUAGAAUUAGGUUAAUGAUUUUAGAUUAGAUUAAAAAGGUUGUUUAAUUAACCUCAUAACCAGUUUUUUUUAAUUUUUUAGUGAGGGCAUUUCGGUCAUUUAAUUUAACAUCAAAAAAGUUACUAAAAAUGGAAAAAAACUUGAAUAAUUACACAUAAUGUUGAGCGGACAAAAAUAGUAAAAGUUGCGCAUAAAUAUUAACGGAGGUAGUAGAUAGGACAUAACCCCACCUCACUUUAUAUUUUUAGUUCGUGGAUUUUCUAGGUUUCGACGAUAAAUAUGUGCCCGAAGAUGAAAAUUGAAAAGGAGCCUUUGGUCUUUCAUACAAGGGUUUGGAUUUGGAGAAUGGAGAUUAGGUGGCUAUCAAACAGGUUUCAUCAUCAACAUUAUUAUGACCACAGGAUAAGAGAACUAAAGAGAGUAAUGGAGAUUCUGUUCACACAUCAUAAACUAAAUCCAGAUUUUCUGGUGACCUUUUAAUGCUAAUAGGUCACGCGAGGGAAAUCUUUGGCCAGAAAUUGUUAAGCAGUUUGAAGGUGGAAGAAUUGUUGAUCAUUGGAGGUUGAUGAAUGGCAAACGUAUUUUUAUGUUGAGUUUCUGGUGUGUAUCUACCCAUCUAUUGGGAAUGAGAAAGUUGAUGUCGGCAUAGCCACAUUGGAAUAAUUGCUCAUUGGCUAAAAGCAGAUGCAUAUGUGUUUGCUUUAUUUGAGCUUUACUGUUGGUGUGCUGUGAAAUGUAUGUGUAUCGCUGGAUUGGUGUAUAUUUUCCGAUAGUUAGGUUUAAAGAAGUACUCCGUACUAGAAAGGCUAUUAGCUCAAUUGGUAGAGCAAUGUGUUAUAUGCCUAUAGUUCCACAUGAUGUGGGUUCGACUCCCACAUAGUCUA